AUGACUAGCUUGAUCCACCAGCAGGGUAGCUGGGCUCACCAGAUCUGGUGGCCCUGGCCACCCUGUUGGCCGAGGAGGUGGUGGUA
rnacentral:pre_miRNA from 1 species